GGGGCCUUAGCUCAGCUGGGGAGAGCACCUGCUUUGCAAGCAGGGGGUCAUCGGUUCGAUCCCGAUAGGCUCCACCA
rnacentral:tRNA from 1 species